UCUUGGCUAAUGUGUCUUGGCUAAUGUGUCUUGGCUAAGGUGUCUUGGCUAAGGUGUCUUGGCUAAGGUGUCUUUGCUAAUGUGUCUCGGCUAAGGUGUCUUGGCUAAGGUGUCUUGGCUAAGGUGUCUUGGCUAAGGUGUCUUGGCUAAGGUGUCUUGGCUAAGGUGUCUUGGCUAAGGUGUCUUGGCUAAGGUGUCUUGGCUAAGGUGUCUUGGCUAAGGUGUCUUGGCUUAGGUGUCUUGGCUAAGGUGUCUUGGCUAAUGUGUCUCGGCUAAGGUGUCGUGGCUAAGGUGUCUUGGCUAAGGUGUCUUGGCUAAGGUGUCUUGGCUAAUGUGUCUUGGCUAAGGUGUCUUGGCUAAGGUGUCUUGGCUAAUGUGUCUUGGCUAAGGUGUCUUGGCUAAGGUGUCUUGGCUAAUGUGUCUUGGCUAAGGUGUCUUGGCUAAAGUGUCUUGGCUAAUGUGUCUUGGCUAAUGUGUCUCGGCUAAGGUGUCUUGGCUAAGGUGUCUUGGCUAAGGUGUCUUGGCUAAGGUGUCUUGGCUAAGGUGUCUUGGCUAAUGUGUCUCGGCUAAAGUGUCUUGGCUAAGGUGUCUUGGCUAAGGUGUCUUGGCUAAGGUGUCUUGGCUAAUGUGUCUCGGCUAAGGUGUCUCGGCUAAGGUGUCUCGGCUAAAGUGUCUUGGCUAAUGUGUCUCGGCUAAGGUGUCUUGGCUAAUGUGUCUUGGCUAAGGUGUCUUGGCUAAGGUGUCUUGGCUAAGGUGUCUUGGCUAAGGUGUCUUGGCUAAGGUGUCUUGGCUAAGGUGUCUUGGCUAAUGUGUCUUGGCUAAGGUGUCUUGGCUAAUGUGUCUCGGCUAAGGUGUCUUGGCUUAGGUGUCUUGGCUAAUGUGUCUUGGCUAAGGUGUCUUGGCUAAGGUGUCUUGGCUAAUGUGUCUUGGCUAAAGUGUCUUGGCUUAGGUGUCUUGGCUAAUGUGUCUCGGCUAAGGUGUCUUGGCUAAGGUGUCUUGGCUAAUGUGUCUUGGCUAAAGUGUCUUGGCUCAUGUGUCUUGGCUAAGGUGUCUUGGCUAAGGUGUCUUGGCUAAGGUGUCUUGGCUAAUGUGUCUUGGCUAAGGUGUCUUGGCUAAGGUGUCUUGGCUAAGGUGUCUUGGCUAAGGUGUCUUGGCUAAUGUGUCUAGGCUAAGGUGUCUUGGCUAAGGUGUCUUGGCUAAGGUGUCUUGGCUAAUGUGUCUUGGCUAAGGUGUCUUGGCUAAUGUGUCUUGGCUAAUGUGUCUUGGCUAAGGUGUCUUGGCUAAGGUGUCUUGGCUAAUGUGUCUCGGCUAAAGUGUCUUGGCUAAGGUGUCUCGGCUAAGGUGUCU